CUCCCCAAUUCUCCUCCUUCUUCCCCUUUGUAUCUCAAUUUAUACAUCGUCAUCUUCUCCCCACCAAACCAUCUUAGAUUUCUCAAGCAGGACCAGCAGUCGCCGGAACAAGGAGGGAUGUCGACCACGACGAUGUUAAUUCCCUUUCUUGCGUCGCAACCUCUGACUCCUUCUCCUCUGCCGUCCCUGACGAUCAGGCCUUUCCUCCGAACGACACCAUUGCUGCCGCUUCCUCCCUUGCAUUCAUCUUCAACAUCUUCAGAUAUGAAAACGGAAUCUCAGAAAAUCUCCCACCAGACCAAAAUUUGAAGAAGGGAUUCAGACGGCUUCGUUUCGCGAAUCGGAUCAUCUGAGCGAGGAUUGACCCUUCAACAUAUAAUUGAUUGAAAACUCAUUAAAACCGAGUGUGUUUUGCUUCUACUUUGUUUAAUUGAUUUCCGCCAUUGAAGCUUCAUUCUCGGUACUUUGUUGUGCAUGAAGAAGAAGAAGUCGUUUGUUUGUUUGAGAUCUUAUUAAAUUAUCUUUAAUUAUUAUUGUAAUGGGUUUAAGUUGAUAAAAGCCUAUAUUUGAUAAAAAUAUGUGGUUGAUUUGGGUA
rnacentral:lncRNA from 1 species